UACAGAGGUCUCAAGCGUUGUUCGGAUUCAUUGGGCGUAAAGGGUGCGUAGGUGGCGCCGUAAGUGGGGUGUGAAAUUUCGGAGCUUAACUCCGAAACUGCAUUCCAUACUGCGGUGCUUGAGGACUGGAGAGGAGACUGGAAUUCAUGGUGUAGCAGUGAAAUGCGUAGAGAUCAUGAGGAAGACCAGUGGCGAAGGCGGGGCUCUGGACAGUUCCUGACACUGAGGCACGAAGGCUAGGGGAGCGAACGGG
rnacentral:rRNA from 1 species